rfam:Candidatus Muproteobacteria bacterium RBG_16_64_11 RBG_16_scaffold_6172, whole genome shotgun sequence.
CGGGGUGUAGCGCAGCCUGGUAGCGCACUUGCUUCGGGAGCAAGGGGCCGGAGGUUCGAAUCCUCUCACCCCGA